rnacentral:rRNA from 1 species
UUAAUUGAAGAGUUUGAUCAUGGCUCAGAUUGAACGCUGGCGGCAGGCCUAACACAUGCAAGUCGAGCGGAAACGGCAGUAUUGAAGCUUCGGUGGAUUUACUGGACGUCGAGCGGCGGACGGGUGAGUAACGGCUGGGAACCUGCCCUGACGAGGGGGAUAACCGUUGGAAACGACGGCUAAUACCGCA